rfam:Equus caballus cont2.18626, whole genome shotgun sequence.
AGUGAAAGCCUGGGAAAAACCAGCAGCUGGUUUGGGGAGGGGCAAUUAAACCCUUAGGGAACGCUCAGCGGGUGCACACAUCCCGGCCAGAGAACCCGGUGCCCACUGUGGGGGUGGGACGUGGGGAGGGUUUGAAU